rnacentral:rRNA from 1 species
AUGAGAUGGAAACGGACAGAGCUGGCGUAUCUGGUCUGCAUUCAUCCGUGUGUUCUUGGGCGUUUGGGUUCCAGAUUGGGAUGGUGUUCAUUCUGUUCAGGGGCUCAUGGAGCAUUUGCAGGCGGAGUGCGCUGAGACGCUCGGGGCAGCUGUAUGAGCUUGACUUUGAGGCCAGCCCUUCGGGGUCUGGUACCCGGGUCGGGGGAGUGCUGUUUGCUCUGGGUGCAAUGGCAACGGGCCCGUUGAGCUGGCGGUCGGUGGCGGUCGCGUGCGACACGUACCAGCAGUCAGUUCGGUCCUGCUCGGGCUCUCAUUUCUCGGUGUAAAAGCCGGUCAUCUGUCCGACCCGUCUUGAAACACGGACCAAGGAGUUUAGCGUGUGCGCGAGUCAUUGGGUGUUGAAAACCCAAAGGCGUAAUGAAAGUGAAGUUGCGGAGCUGAUGUGUGAUCUCGUGCACCACGGUGUGCGGCGCAACAUAGUCCCGUCCCGAUCGCAUGCGAUGGGGCGGAGACAGAGCGUACGCGCUGAGACCCGAAAGAUGGUGAACUAUUCCUGAGCAGGACGAAGCCAGAGGAA